CCAAUAGCGUAUAUUAAAGUUGUUGCAGUUAAAAAGCUCGUAGUUGAAUUUCGGGGUUAGUAGGUUGGUCAUGCCUCUGGUAUGUACUGGUCUCACUGAUUCCUCCUUCCUGCUGAGCCGUAAUGCCAUUAAUUUGUGGUUGCGGGGAAUUUGGACUGUUACUUUGAAAAAAUUAGAGUGUUUAAAGCAAGCUAACGCUUGAAUACAUUAGCAUGGAAUAAUGAAAUAGGACGUUCGAUCCUAUUUUGUUGGUUUCUAGGAUUGACGUAAUGAUUAAUAGGGAUAGUUGGGGGCAUUAGUAUUCAAUUGUCAGAGGUGAAAUUCUUGGAUUUAUUGAAGACUAACUACUGCGAAAGCAUUUGCCAAGGAUGUUUUCAUUAAUCAAGAACGAAAGUUAGGGGAUCGAAGACGAUCAGAUACCGUCGUAGUCUUAACCAUAAACUAUGCCGACUAGGGAUCGGAUGAUGUUAAUUUUUUAAUGACUCAUUCGGCGCCUUACG
rnacentral:rRNA from 1 species